rnacentral:tRNA from 1 species
GUGGCGGUGGCUCAGUGGUAGAGCACUCGCCUGGCACGUGUGAAGCCCUGGGUUCAAUCCUCAGCACCACA